rnacentral:rRNA from 1 species
UACGUAGGGGGCAAGCGUUGUCCGGAAUCAUUGGGCGUAAAGCGCACGUAGGCGGCCCGGUAAGUCCGUUGUGAAAGUCAAAGGCUCAACCUUUGAAUGCCAAUGGAUACUGCCGGGCUAGAGUCCGGAAGAGGCGAGUGGAAUUCCUGGUGUAGCGGUGGAAUGCGCAGAUACCAGGAGGAACACCAAUGGCGAAGGCAGCUCGCUGGGACGGUACUGACGCUGAGGUGCGAAAGCGUGGGGAGCGAACAGG